GUGCUUGGGGCCUGCGUCUGGGGCUUUUCUGUAGCAUUUUGGUCGCAUGUUUUUGAUUUGGGGUCUGUAUCCAGGGUUUUGCCUUUUUUGUAGUUUUCAGCUUUGUGUCUGUUUCUUUGUUGGUUUUGUCUGGGGUUAGGGGCAGUUUGGGGUUUGGAUCGUUAGUCAGUGUCAUUAGCGUUGGGGGGUUGAUAUGAAGGGUUAGGGUUGUGGUUAGAGUUGUUAGGGUUAAAGGGAAUAAGGAUUUUAGAGUAAGGGGAUCAAGGUUGUGGGAAUAAAAAUGUUUUUGCACAGAGUUACAUUAUUUAGAGGGAAGGAAGGUGGUAUUGAGAUAUGCUUGCAGUGAUAAGAAAGCUUAACAGACAACCUUGUAAAAUGCAGACAACCACAAUCCUUAGAGCAAUUGGGUGGAAAUCAGUGUAAGAAAUAUACCCACCUCAAAGAGGAAAACAGUCAAGAAAAAAAGAAAAUUGACUUGUAACACGCCAGCAGCUGUGUAUUUUCUGUGAAGCACCGGCUAGAUUGCGAACCUGGAUUACCCAGACAAGGGGGAAACUGGGGAGGGUCCCGGUCAUCGAGAGGAAAAAAAAAUUUAUAUGAACUAUGUUAUGGAACUAGUAGGUGGCUUGUGGGACGCCUGCCAUUGCAAUCGUGAAUAAAAAUGCUACUUCAC